rnacentral:rRNA from 1 species
CCCUUAGAUGUUCUGGGCCGCACGCGCGCUACACUGACGCAUUCAACGAGUCUAAAACCUGGUCUGAUAGGGCUGGGUAAUCUUUUGAAUGUGCGUCGGGAUUGGGAUAAAUGAUUGUAAUUCUUCAUUUUCAACGAGGAAUGCCUAGUAAACGCAAGUCAUCAGCUUGCAUUGAUUACGUCCCUGCCCUUUGUACACACCGCCCGUCGCUCCUACCGAUUGAAUGAUCCGAUGAAUAUCAUGGACUGAGAGUGUUAGAGUUUUCGGACUUCUACACUUCUCGGGAAGUGAAGUGAAUCUUAUCAUUUAGAGGAAGGAGAAGUCGUAACA